rnacentral:rRNA from 1 species
ACUUGGUAUCAUGGCUACUCAGCAAAGUCUGUUCUCAAAAGUUAAGCAAGGUCCAGCUUGAUUGGUCCUUGGAUGGGAGGCCACCUGGGAAUUCCAAAUGCUGGAGGUU